rnacentral:rRNA from 1 species
ACUACUCGAAAGAGUGGCUAAUACCGCAUGAGACCUGAGGGUGAAAGCGGGGGAUCGCAAGACCUCGCGCGAUUGGAGCGGCCGAUAUCAGAUUAGCUAGUUGGCGGGGUAAAAGCCCACCAAGGCGACGAUCUGUAGCUGGUCUGAGAGGACGACCAGCCACACUGGGACUGAGACACGGCCCAGACUCCUACGGGAGGCAGCAGUGGGGAAUUUUGGACAAUGGACGAAAGUCUGAUCCAGCCAUGCCGCGUGCGGGAAGAAGGCCUUCGGGUUGUAAACCGCUUUUGUCAGGGAAGAAACGACGUCCUCUAAUACAGGGUGUUAAUGACGGUACCUGAAGAAUAAGCACCGGCUAACUACGUGCCAGCAGCCGCGGUAAUACGUAGGGUGCAAGCGUUAAUCGGAAUUACUGGGCGUAAAGCGUGCGCAGGCGGUUAUGCAAGACAGAUGUGAAAUCCUCGGGCUCAACCUGGGAACUGCAUUUGUGACUGCAUGGCUAGAGUACGGUAGAGGGGGAUGGAAUUCCGCGUGUAGCAGUGAAAUGCGUAGAUAUGCGGAGGAACACCGAUGGCGAAGGCAAUCCCCUGGACCUGUACUGACGCUCAUGCACGAAAGCGUGGGGAGCAAACAGGAUUAGAUACCCUGGUAGUCCACGCCCUAAACGAUGUCAACUGGUUGUUGGGAGGGUUUCUUCUCAGUAACGUAGCUAACGCGUGAAGUUGACCGCCUGGGGAGUACGGCCGCAAGGUUGAAACUCAAGGGAAUUGACGGGGACCCGCACAAGCGGUGGAUGAUGUGGUUUAAUUCGAUGCAACGCGAAAAACCUUACCUACCCUUGACAUGUCUGGAAUCCUGAAGAGAUUUGGGAGUGCUCGAAAGAGAGCCAGAACACAGGUGCUGCAUGGCCGUCGUCAGCUCGUGUCGUGAGAUGUUGGGUUAAGUCCCGCAACGAGCGCAACCCUUGUCAUUAGUUGCUACGAAAGGGCACUCUAAUGAGACUGCCGGUGACAAACCGGAGGAAGGUGGGGAUGACGUCAGGUCAUCAUGGCCCUUAUGGGUAGGGCUACACACGUCAUACAAUGGCCGGUACAGAGGGCUGCCAACCCGCGAGGGGGAGCCAAUCCCAGAAAACCGGUCGUAGUCCGGAUCGUAGUCUGCAACUCGACUGCGUGAAGUCGGAAUCGCUAGUAAUCGCGGAUCAGCUUGCCGCGGUGAAUACGUUCCCGGGUCUUGUACACACCGCCCGUCACACCAUGGGAGCGGGUUCUGCCAGAAGUAGUUAGCCUAACCGCAAGGGGGGCGAUUACCACGGCAGGGUUCGUGACUGGGGUGAAGUCGAAACAAGGUAGCCGUAUCGGAAGGUGCGGCUG